AACGCAACUUGCGCCCCCUUGGGGCAUGUCUGUUUGAGAACCGCAACAACCUAACCCCCCGGGGUUGAGCUGCACCGUGCUGCGCAGCGGCUGGUGCGAAAGGCAGCAGGAGAGGGCGCGGAGCCGACCAUGUGCUGGGACCUCGGUCACGUCAUGGCGCGGCGACCAAGCCCGAUAUCAAACAUUUGGUCUCAAAUCAGGCAAGACUACCCGCUGAACUUAA
rnacentral:misc_RNA from 2 species